AGACCUAAGGACCAUCAGGCCCAUCAUUUGAUUUGCACUCAAAUACCUUAUUAAGUC
rnacentral:tRNA from 1 species